rnacentral:rRNA from 1 species
GGGCCCGCACAAGCGGUGGAGCAUGUGGUUUAAUUCGAUGAUACGCGAGGAACCUUACCAGGGCUUAAAUGUAAGUUGCAUUAGAUAGAGAUAUCUAUUUCUUCGGACCACUUACAAGGUGCUGCAUGGUUGUCGUCAGCUCGUGCCGUGAGGUGUCAGGUUAAGUCCUAUAACGAGCGCAACCCCUGUUGUUAGUUGCCAGCGAUUCAAGUCGGGAACUCUAACAAGACUGCCGGUGCAAACCGUGAGGAAGGUGGGGAUGACGUCAAAUCAUCACGGCCCUUACGUCCUGGGCUACACACGUGCUACAAUGGUAGGGACAGAGGGAAGCCAACCCCGCGAGGGGGAGCGGAUCUACAAAACCUAUCUCAGUUCGGAAUCGGAGUCUGCAACUCGACUCCGUGAAGCUGGAAUC